GUUGCCAUGCGCAUCCGCUACCGCACUGGGAAAAUGCGAAUGAGCCACGGCUGCUUCUAGGUUGCUGGCGGUGCUCUCGAAGUAGGUUUCAAAAUGUUUGCAGGAAUUCGAAUCAACUCUUACGUGGAAUUUAGAAUUGUAGCCCUAAUCAGGGCUGUUUAAUUUUGAUUUCACAAAACCAAACCGCGUUGCUGCCGUGUCGUCGGCGCCCAUCCGCUUCCGAACUGGGGAAAUGAUAAAUUAUUCCACCACCGCCGCUGCUGCUCCGUUGUCGUCGGUGCGUCCGUCCGUCUAGCGCGGUCGACAGCGUGAGAAUGUGCUGUGAGAAGAGAAUGCUGAGCGAAAAUGCAAACCGAGCUGUGCUCCUCCGUCUCUGAUCCGGUAAACGAGCUGCCGCGCGCGAAGAGGCACCGACCAUCGCGCUCGGCUUGCCAAAGAACACUAAAUGAAAACGCAAACGGAGCAAACUGCACAGCUCUCUGCCGAUGCGUUCCCCUCGAGGUGUUGAUGAAGAAUGAAGGAAGAGGGGAAGAAGAAAUAGCUUUUAUACUGCCAGGCGCUCGACGGAAAAGUCCAAAACUGCGCUCGAACGUGAUUGGCUGGAUAAAACAUGGGUUCACUUUUCCUAAAUUUUCAAUAGUUUGCUGUUGAAAAUCAAUAGUUGUUAUUAAUUAACAUAAUUGCUGGAAAUAUUUGCGUCUGAUCGGUGCUAAAAUUUUUAAAAUUCGUUCAUAAAUGACUGAGUUAUUAGCGUUCAAAAGCUGACCACUUUUCGUGACGCGGCCGAUUUUUGGUUUUUCUGAAGUUACACCCCUAUAUGUUGCCGAAGGACGUUAUUCAACGUCAAAAGUUUUGUUAAAAACUAUCCUCAAGGGUAAUUUAUGAAAUUGCAAAAAACGUUGUACGCAACUCGUUGCAGAACUCGAUUUUUCCAGCACUCGUCGUAAUUAUCCAACUCGGCAAGCCUCGUUGGAUAAAUGUACGACUCGUGCUGUAAAAAUCGUCAUUCUGCACCUUGUUGCGUAAACUACUAUUACCUAUAGCAGAAUUGUCUUGGUAACCGUUCAUUUUAUAAGAAUUUAAACAGAUGCAAUCCAACAGAUCAUUCAAAAAUGCAAAUCAUUAAGCUUUUGUUAAUUGGUGGACUGGAAUUACCAAUAUGUAAUUAUAUAACUUAGAAUUUCUAGAUAUCAUACAGUUUUCUUCUAGAUUGUGUGGCAAAAAUGGGCAUAGAAAUGUUUAAUUUUUGCGGAUACAACACACAUUACAAUUUGGUUGGGAAAUAUAAAGGAUGCUACAACAAUCUAAUAUAUUUCCACUAUUUCGCUUGCAAAGUUUAUGCUACGGUUUUAAGACUUAGUCGGUUUUGACAUAUUUGUGACCCGACGCGUCGUCCAAGAAAAUUAUUCGAUUCACUCUUGUGAGGAACACUUAGAAAGGCUGUUUAAUUUUAUUGGUUGUAUAAUAAUCGUUCAAUUGUAGCAUGAGGUGAAAAUCGGUAGCUAUGCCAACCAAAUCCAGAACGGCAUCGGUGGCAAAAGAAAGCCCUCGUUGUUGCCGCGCACCAGUUUGAACUGGCUGAUUGCUCCACUGGCGCCGCGUACAACGAUACGAAGGAGAGCGUAACAGCCGACAACCACCGCGCUCGACUUGCCAAAGCAUACUGAUGGAAAACGCAAACGGAGAAACUGGCUAUCUCUCCUUCUAUGUGAUCCCAUCGACGGGUCAAGAAAGAAUGAUGGAAGAUGAGAAGAAGCAGUUUGCUUUUGUACGGCACAAUGGCCUGGCUUCCCCUCUCGAACGUGAGGGGAGUAAAAUUCAACGAUGCCAUACAAAUUUAUCUGCAAUAAUUUAUUAUAGCGGAGUAUUAAAAUAUACUAAAAUGAUUAUUAUUAGCCAUUUCCAAAUCAGUAUGUAGGCUUAGGAUUAACCAAUAUAAUAAUGUUUAGUAAAGAUUGACAGUAUAUAGUAUAAAAGUCAUGUAUUUUUGACCAAAAUUACUAAAGAUUACAGAUAUUUGAAAUUCUAAAAUUCUUAUUGAAAUUUGGCAACGCUGGUUAACAAUUUCAUUUUCCGACAAACCUGCCAUUUUUCAAAGUUGAAGAAAUUUUAAGCCAUUUUAUUAUGCGCGCAUAAGUUUAUGCUUUUGUCACCGUAUCUUGAAUUUAGAAUAGAUUCGACAUCAAGCGGUUAAAAUAUUCCCAGUUGUUGCCAUGCCCAUUCGCUACCGCACUUAGAAAAUGCUAAUUAGCCACCACCGCUGCUGCUAGGUUGCUAGCGGUGCUUGUACCGCGUUCGGCGGUGCUCUCGAAAUAGGUUUCAAGAUUAAUCCUAGUGGAAUUCUAAUCAACUCUUACGUGGAAUUUAAAAUUGUAGCCCUUAUAAGGGCUGUUUAAUUUUGAUUUCACAUAGCCAAACCACGUUGCUGCCGUGUCGUCGGCGCCCAUCCGCUUCCGAACUGGGGAAAUGAUUAAUUAUUCCACCACCGCCGCUGCUGCUUGGUUGUCGUCGGCGCGUCCGCCCGUCCACCGCAAUCGACAGCGUGAAAAUGUGCUGUGAGAAUGUUGGGCGAAAAUACGAACCGAGCUGUGCUCCUUCGUCUCUGAUCCGGCGAACGACUCCGCUCGAGCUGACGCGCGCGAAGACGCACCGCACCGACCACCGCGCUCGGCUUGCCAAAGAACACUAAAUGAAAACGCAAACUGCACAGCUCUCUGCCGAUGCGUUCCCCUCGAGGUGUCGAUGAAGAAUGAAGGAAGAGGGGAAGAAGAAAUAGCUUUUAUACUGCCAGGCGCUCGAUGGAAAAGUCCAAAACUGCGCUCGAACGUGAUUGGCUGAAUAAAACAUGGGUUCACUUUUCCUAAAUUUUCAAUAGUUCGCUGUUGAAAAUCAAUAGUUGUUAUUAAUUGACAUAAUUGCUGGAAAUAUUUGCGUCUGAUCGGUGCUAAAAUUUUUAAAAUUCGUUCAUAAAUGACUGAGUUAUUAGCGUUCAAAAGCUGACCACUUUUCGUGACGCGGCCGAUUUUUGGUUUUUCUGAAGUUACACCCCUAUAUGUUGCCGAAGGACG